rnacentral:rRNA from 1 species
CAGCCGCCGCGGUAAUACGUAGGGUGCGAGCGUUAAUCGGAAUUACUGGGCGUAAAGCGUGCGCAGGCGGUUUUGUAAGACAGGCGUGAAAUCCCCGGGCUCAACCUGGGAAUGGCGCUUGUGACUGCAAAGCUAGAGUGCGGCAGAGGGGGAUGGAGUUCCGCGUGUAGCAGUGAAAUGCGUAGAUAUGCGGAGGAACACCGAUGGCGAAGGCAAUCCCCUGGGCCUGCACUGACGCUCAUGCACGAAAGCGUGGGGAGCAAACAGGAUUAGAUACCCCCGUAGUCCCUGUCUCUUAUAC